UUCAUAAACAUUCUUCCACGACGUGCUGUGCUGGAAUCCCUGAGCCUGCUCUGGCCUGGGAGGCUGCCUGAUUUAACAGAGUUUCAAGUUGCUCAGGCUGGUCUCAAACUCCUGGGCUCAAGUGAUCCACCCACCUUGGCCUCCCAAAGUGCUGGGAUUACAGGCACGACCCACUGCAACUGGCCCCACAUCCUUCAGUUUUUAAGAGUGCAGGCCUUUUGUUAUGUAGGAUGGCCCUAGACCUGGUUCCAUCUAAUAUUUCAUUUUGGUCAGACCUCGCCAUGAUUUCUUGACAGGAAAAUGAUGGACAGGAUCCUGGGCUCUGCACAUUACAGCAUAUGAUGUGGUCUUGUCUCAUCACUGGUGAUGUUAAUCUUGAUUGCUUGGUCAUGUUGGUGUCUUCCAUAUUUCUCCUCCAUUGAGUCACCAUUUUCACCUUUGCAAUUGAUAAGCAUUUUGUGGGGAGAUUUUCUAAAAUUAUGCUAAAAUCCUGAUCCUUAACAACUUCUACCCAUCAGCCUUAAUAUUUGUGGAUGAUCCCUAUCUGAAUAAAUUAUAACCAUAAUAGUGUCAUAUGGUGGUUUGCUAUUUUCAUCAUUCCUUCUACAUUAAUUACUUGGUAUUCUACUGUAAGAAAGAAGUUCCACUGCUUCCUCUAUUUAUUUACUUAUUUAUUCAUUUAUUUAGUAGUAUGAAUUUCAAUUUAACAGGUUAAAAACCAUGCUUGUUCUUUGUGAAAGUAUAUAACGUUAUUAUCUUUAUCAGAGAAGAAAUGGUUCUGAACUUCUCAAGAAAGUAUACAAGCAGUAUAAAAAUGAGAUAAUUACACUUACUUAACAUACCUUAUUUUCAUCCAAAUAAACACGAAAAGAAUCCAACAUGAUAUUUGAAAUUCUACCAUAGGGUAUUUUACUAGAAAAAUAGAAUCUUGUGUUUUUGGUAAUGUUUGUUCAUAUCACAAAAUUACUGAGAAGCGAAACAUUUCUAAAUUCACAUUAGAACAUUGUAAUUCACAUUUGUGUUAGAAUGAUGGUUACCAGAGUCUGGGAAGGGUAGUGGAGUAGUAGAAUGGGGGAUGGUUAUUGGAUAUGAAAAUAUAGUUAGUUAGAAUGAAUAAGAUCUAGUAUUUGAUAGCACAACAGGGUAACUACAGUCAACAAUAAUUUAUUGUACAUUUAAAAAUAACUAUAAGACUAUAAUUAGAUUGUAACACAAAGAAAGGAUAAAUGUUUGAAGUGAUAGAUACCCCAUUUAUCCUGAUGUGAUUAUUACACAUUGUAUGCUUGUAUCAAAAUAUCUCAUGUACGCCAUACAUAUAUAUGCCUACUGUGUACUCACAAAAAUUAAAAAUUGUAAAAAUAAAUAAACAAAAC
rnacentral:lncRNA from 1 species